rnacentral:rRNA from 1 species
GACGAACGCGGGCGGCGUGCUUAACACAUGCAAGUCGAACGAGCGGCGGACGGGUGAGUAAUGUAUGGGGACUGCCCGAUAGAGGGGGAUAACUACUGGAAACGGUGGCUAAUACCGCAUACUAUCGGAUAACCCAUAUGGGAUUAGCUAGUAGGUGGGGUAAAGGCUCACCUAGGCGACGAUCUCUAGCUGGUCUGAGAGGAUGAUCAGCGACACUGUGACUGAGACACGGCCCAGACUCCUACGGAGGCAGCGGUGGGGAAUAUUGCACAAUGGGAGGAAGCCUGAUACAGCCAUGCCGCGUGUAUGAAGAAGGCCUUAGGGUUGUAAGGUACUUUCAGCGGGGAGGCGUUACCCGCAGAAGAAGCACCGGCUAACUCCGUGCCAGCAGCCGCGGUAAUUC